rnacentral:rRNA from 1 species
GAAUUCAACUCCUACGGGAGGCAGCAGUGGAGAAUAUUGCACAAUGGGCGAAAGCCUGAUGCAGCGACGCCGCGUGAGGGAUGAAGGCCUUCGGGUUGUAAACCUCUUUCAGUAGGGAAGAAGCGAAAGUGACGGUACCUACAGAAGAAGCACCGGCUAACUACGUGCCAGCAGCCGCGGUAAUACGUAGGGUGCGAGCGUUGUCCGGAAUUAUUGGGCGUAAAGAGCUUGUAGGCGGUUUGUCGCGUCUGCCGUGAAAAUCCGGGGCUCAACUCCGGACUUGCGGUGGGCACGGGCAGACUGGAGUGUGGUAGGGGAGACUGGAGUUCCUGGUGUAGCGGUGAAAUGCGCAGAUAUCAGGAGGAACACCGAUGGCGAAGGCAGGUCUCUGGGCCACUACUGACGCUGAGAAGCGAAAGCGUGGGGAGCGAACAGGAUUAGAAACCCCGGUAGUCCAGGCGUU